UGGGGAAUAUUGCACAAUGGGCGCAAGCCUGAUGCAGCCAUGCCGCGUGUAUGAAGAAGGCCUUCGGGUUGUAAAGUACUUUCAGUCGGGAGGAAGGUGUCAAGGUUAAUAACCUUGGCAAUUGACGUUACCGACAGAAGAAGCACCUGCUAACUCCGUGCCAGCAGCCGCGGUAAUACGGAGGGUGCAAGCGUUAAUCGGAAUUACUGGGCGUAAAGCGCACGCAGGCGGUUGAUUGAGUAAGAUGUGAAAUCCCCGGGCUUAACCAGGGAAUUGCAUCUGAUACUGGUCAGCUAGAGUCUUGUAGAGGGGGGUAGAAUUACAUGUGUAGCGGUGAAAUGCGUAGAGAUGUGGAGGAAUACCGGUGGCGAAGGCGGCCCCCUGGACAAAGACUGACGCUCAGGUGCGAAAGCGUGGGGAGCAAACAGG
rnacentral:rRNA from 1 species